AUUGAACGCUGGCGGCAUGCCUUACACAUGCAAGUCGAACGGCAGCACGGGAGCAAUCCUGGUGGCGAGUGGCGAACGGGUGAGUAAUAUAUCGGAACGUGCCCAGUCGUGGGGGAUAACGUAGCGAAAGCUACGCUAAUACCGCAUACGAUCUAUGGAUGAAAGCGGGGGAUCGCAAGACCUCGCGCGAUUGGAGCGGCCGAUAUCAGAUUAGGUAGUUGGUGAGGUAAAGGCUCACCAAGCCGACGAUCUGUAGCUGGUCUGAGAGGACGACCAGCCACACUGGGACUGAGACACGGCCCAGACUCCUACGGGAGGCAGCAGUGGGGAAUUUUUGGACAAUGGGCGCAAGCCUGAUCCAGCAAUGCCGCGUGCAGGAUGAAGGCCUCGGUUGUAACGUGCUUUGUUACGGUAACGAACGGUAGA
rnacentral:rRNA from 1 species